AUCUGGCUUGAUGUAAGAAUAGGUAGCUAGAAUGAGUAAGCCACCCCCUGGGAAGUCUCCAGAGCCUAACCAACCGCAGACCCCUGGAGACAGAGAUGAGCAAUGAAGGGCUCAUCCAGUCAACCAGUCAAGAACUCAGCUAGCCAGAUGCAGCCUGUCUCUGCUUCCACAGGCCGGGCUUACAGACAUGUGUCGUCAUGACGAGUGUUUUAAGAGGGUGCUAGUGAUUAAAUUCGGGUCCUCAUGCUCUCCAGCCCAUUACGACAGGAUCUGGGAUCGUCUAGGAGAUGAGAUUCCAGGCACCACUGCGAGGGACUUUCUCGAUUGGGUUAAUUGAGGUGGGCAGUGCCAUGCCAUGAGCUGGGGUCCUGGAAUGAACGAAAGAGGAGACAAAAUGAGCACCAGCAUCCAUCUCCAUCUCCUCCUGGCUGUGGAUGCAGCGUGACCUCGUGCUCCUGCGGCACCAGCAUCCAUCUCCAUCUCCUCCUGGCUGUGGAUGCAGCGCGACCUCGUGCUCCUGCGGCCACAGCUCUGCCAUGACUGACUGUAGCUCACACUCUUGAGCUAAAUUAAACCCUCUGUUCUUAAGUUCCUGUGGUAUUUGAAUGAAAAAUCAUAUGCCCCACCAAAGCUCAUAUAUUUGAAUGCUUGGCUGGUGAUGCUUGGUGGAACUCUUAG
rnacentral:lncRNA from 1 species